AAUAAUAAUAUGUUGUUAAAUUCUAAUGUUCUUAAAAAUUAAAGUACUUCAUGAUGAGGAUCCGUUGGUCCAAUAGCAUAUCCGUCCACUGCCGUCCAACAUACUAAUUUUUACCUGAAAAUUGUAAAUAAGAGAAAUGAGUAUAAAGAAUUAUACUCAAUGAGAUGCUUGCAAUUCCACACACAAAAAAAAUAUGAAAUUAUGCAUAAAUUCUCUUACCAACAUAAAAUGAGAAUUAUCACACCAUGACAAACAAUAAUUCUUGCAGGCGCUGCAAAAUAACGUGAAGGCUAAAUUUUGCCUUAAAAUGUAUCGUGAUUUCUCCCGUAGAAGUCCUGUACUAAAGUAAUUAAAUUCAUACAUAACAACAUAUUUGAAAAGAUGUGGAAAAAUCAUUAAUAGCAUUGAGCACCUCACUUUGUAUAAUAAAUCUCGAAUUGAAUGCACUGGGAAUGCAGAUUGUGGAAUCUUGUUUUUCUGGAACUUCCUCUUUGCACUUGGCCUUUUG
rnacentral:lncRNA from 1 species